ACAGCCCCUCUGUACCAGGGCCCGAGGAGCCAGCUUCCCAGAAGUCCAUGGAUUAGGAAGGUCUGUUGGGGCUGCUUCAGGAGCUGCCAGGGAACAACUCCCUUUUGUUUUGCUGUCUAGCAUGUGACCAGAAUGCUGCCAGCUAAUUUUAACCCCACCAAAGUACUGCUGGAAAAAAAAAAAACACAAAAAACAAACAAACAAAAAAAACCCCUAUCUUGCAUCUGGAGAGAGGAACGCAGUGGGCUGGAGAAAAGCUUUUUCAGCCUGUGUUCCUUCCUGUUUCAGUUUCCAGACUUGCAUUAUCGGUAACCUGAAAAAUGAUGAGUUUCACCAAAUUCCUGGAUAUUGCACAAGAGGACAAUGAGUCUAUUUCGGGUGCUGUGAUUGUGUCUGGCACAGACCCUGGAAGCUAUUGUUUUCGGGAGGGAGAACGCUUUGGGGUUUCCUGGUGCUUUCCUUCUAGGGUCUCAAAGCCCCAAAUGCCCCAGGAAUUAAUGGAGGACUUCGUGGGGUUCCUCCCCCUGGAUGCAUUCCCACGGCGGUUAAUUGUUGCUGUCCGGCUGGGUGGCCGAUGGCGCUAGUGAAAAGGUACAGAAUCUCAGGAGCCAGGAAAUGAAGUGGUUUGGGCAAGACAGCGGGCAGCUAGCUCGGCAGCUGCUGGCCAGCCGUUCUGAAACCAGGUAGUGAGAUGGUGUCAUUACCCCGAGGGUCUACGGUGCAGUCCCAGAAGGUCACAUGAUGGCGACGAGAGCAAGCGAGGGGAGAGGCCCCAGCGGAUGCCGCCGCACUCCCGGCCACCAGGCGCGCGUGGGGGCCGUUGGUCUGACAGCUGCUGAGGGCUUCGGCUGCCUGAAAAGCCAUUUGCUCUGGCCUGCCCUGUCUGGCCAACUUCUAUGUAUUUAAAGGAUCCUCGCUGGUCUCUGAGCACCGCCCCCCCAUCUCCAUCUGAAUGGUCAGGCGCAGCGACCCUCUCUGGGAGGGCCAGGAGCCUCCCCGGAGACCUUCAGUCCCUCAUCUGCCUCCCCACGGCUGUCGUAACCUGCACAGUAGUGGAGAUCGGCUGGCAAUUCCUAAAUUAAGGUUCUGUUUACUCUGCUGUUCCAAAGGCUUGUUUUGAGCAAGAUGUUGUGCUUUAAUUAAAAAGACGAGAGAGCUCAUGAGUAAGUGAAAAUAUUUUUGAAUCUUCACAGAAAUGUCUGAAUUGGGUUUCUUGUGUUUCACAGUGAGGGGGGGUCAGGCUGGUCAGCACUUUUAUCUGGGGGACCACUGAAAACUCGUGCUAUAAGCUGACAACGGGCUCUUCUGCACAGUAGACUUGGGGGGGUACCCUAAGUCAAAAAUGCGUCCCUGCUGCUUCGGCAGGGUUAGCCGGCAUCCACGUGUAGUGAGGACACAUUCCUCCUUUACCUUCCCAGCCAGAGGCUUCC
rnacentral:lncRNA from 1 species